GCAGUGGGGAAUUUUGGACAAUGGGCGCAAGCCUGAUCCAGCCAUGCCGCGUGCAGGAUGAAGGCCUUCGGGUUGUAAACUGCUUUUGUACGGAACGAAAAGGUGCCUUCUAAUAAAGGGCGCUCAUGACGGUACCGUAAGAAUGAGCACCGGCUAACUACGUGCCAGCAGCCGCGGUAAUACGUAGGGUGCGAGCGUUAAUCGGAAUUACUGGGCGUAAAGCGUGCGCAGGCGGUUUUGUAAGACAGAGGUGAAAUCCCCGGGCUCAACCUGGGAACUGCCUUUGUGACUGCAAGGCUGGAGUGCGGCAGAGGGGGAUGGAAUUCCGCGUGUAGCAGUGAAAUGCGUAGAUAUGCGGAGGAACACCGAUGGCGAAGGCAAUCCCCUGGGCCUGCACUGACGCUCAUGCACGAAAGCGUGGGGAGCAAACAGGAUUAGAUACCCUGGUAGUCCACGCC
rnacentral:rRNA from 1 species